rnacentral:lncRNA from 1 species
AAAAGCAUUAUUUACAUAUUGCCCAAUUAUCUUCCCAAAAGAGUACCCACAUCCUGGUCAAUUCUAUCUGAAGACAUUUUAUAGUAUAGUAAGAUUUGUUAACCUAUUCAUCUCUGUUCACAGGCGGUUCACAGGCCUGCUCUUUCCAGGCGUUUUCAGGUUGUGAUACAAGCUCAUUAGUUAGUUCUCCCUGGCUCGGCCAAGGGCAGUACAGAGCUUCUCUACCCUCAAGUUUUCUGUAAUCUUUAACCUUUAAUUAUUGUGCAAAGUUUACUUGUUAAUCCUCUUGUAAUGUAACCAUUGACUUAGCAACAACAGCAACAGUAAGCCAAACAGUAGGCUGAGCUACAACCCAGGCUCUAAACUUAGAUGUACCACAUACACGCUUUCUAAGACCUCAACUUCCUACUUUUCAAAGUUGUUUUAGCAGUGGAACUCUUUUUCCUUAAGUGAUGUUCUGUGGAAUGCGAAAUGAAAACAGAGCAAGGCUGACAGGCAUAUAAGUGCACAGUCCCAACGGCAUGAAAGCAAGGAGUCAGAAUUCCCAUCCUCCUUGGCUCAAAGGAAACACAGAUGAAGCAGGUGUUCCAUUUGAUGGCCAGGUCCUUCCAUCUUGUGGCUACCCAUCCCCUGGGCCUUGCUGUCAAUUGCAUCAAGAUAGAAGAAGGAACAGACAGUGGAGGAGGUAUGUCUGCUUCUUAAACUGUUUCAGCCCUAAAAGUAGCAUGCCUCAUUUCUGCUCACAUUCCAUUGGCAAGAGUUGGUCACAUGGCCACCUCAGGAUGCAAGGGAGGCUGGGAAAUACAGUUCCUGGCUGGAGAGCUGCUUCCUGGUCAUCACUAUCACAAGCCUUGGGAGCAGUGGGAUUUGUAGACAGCAACCCUCUGUCAUGUAGCACACUUUGACAAGCUGACAACAGUAUGGCCAUAAAGAAUACAUUGAACUCAGUUAAUUCAGACUGGGAGAGAGGUCAAGAAAAGCUUUGGGGAGGGAGUGACGUUUGAGCUUUGUUUUAAGAAUCUAAGUAAACCAGGUGAAGAAGAAAGUGAUUUGGGGCGGAGAAAGCUUGUGAAACAUGAGGUAUAGAAGUAUAUGGCCUAUUCGGAGGACAAAAGUAGUGCAAUGUAUGUGGAUUGUAUUGUGGAGUCAGGAUAAGAAGGUGAGCCAAAAUAGGUGGCUAAAGAGGUUUUAGAUUCAUAGGAAAUGUUUGUAGGGUGUAGAAUCCACAAGGUUUGGCUGGGGGACGAGGUCUGAGAGGUAGUAAGAGGCCACAUCACCUAAGGCCUUGUAACUGUGGGUGAAUUUUCAAUCUUACUGUAAAUAAGACAAAACUAAGGAGAGCUGGACUGUGAAGAAAGCUGAGCGCUGAAGAAUUGAUGCUUUUGAACUGUGGUGUUGGAGAAGACUCUUGAGAGUCCCUUGGGCUGCAAGGAGAUCCAACCAGUCCAUUCUAAAGGAGAUCAAUCCUGGGUGUUCUUUGGAAGGAAUGAUGCUAAAGCUGAAACUCCAGUACUUUGGCCACCUCAUGCGAAAAGUUGACUCAUUGGAAAAGAUUCUGAUGCUGGGAGGGAUUGCGGGCAGGAGGAGAAGGGGACAACAGAGGAUGAGAUGGCUGGAUGGCAUUACUGACUCGAUGGACGUGAGUUUGAGUGAACUCCGGGAGUCGGUGAUGGACAGGGAGGCCUGGCGUGCUGCAAUUCAUGGGGUCGCAAAGAGUUGGACACAACUGAGUGACUGAACUGAACUGAGCUGAAGGAUACAUAUGUACUUAUUCAAUCAAACGUACUUUGUCCCUACUUUCUGAAAUACAACAGUUCCUAAAUGGUUCAUGUCAGUAUAGUGUAGUAGUAUGGAACUCUAUUUUAGAGUGACAUUGAGUUGUUUAUGCAAAUGAAUGUUCUCAGCUUUGCUGUCUCAUGGUGCAACAGAAAUAGAUAAAAAUAGGUAUGAGUGUGAAAACAAUACCAAACAAUGCUAUUGUGAAUUUUUUCUAAAAGUUUGGAUAUCGUUUUGCAAAAGCCAAGGAAAGAUUCAAUGUUGGGGGAAAUCUCCAAAAAGAAAGUUUUCCUCUCAUGUAAGACAAAGGCAUCAUUUCCCCCAAAGGCUGAGGCCCAAUUGUUGUGGUGUCUGUGACAGCCCCUGACCCAACAACUCCCUGCAGAGGAUUUGGGGAAGGUUCAAGAGAGGGUCAAGAGAAUUUAUGUGAGAAAACACUUGCCUCUAAACAAGAUUCUGGGAUGUGAUAAUCCAAAAAUGCAGUUUUCAAAAGUGCCGUCUUUAGACCCAAGGAAUAAUUUUAGAAAAGGGAAAGUCUCAGAGUUAAGGAGCAAAUGUUGACACAGUUGCUUAUAGUAUAUGAUAUGAGAGGCAUUUCUGAGAGAACUUCCUAUUCAAAACAACAAUAUAUUAAUAACUAACUUUGAAUAACUAAUCCCUGGACCCCUUGCUAACACCAGGAACUUUCCAAAGUGCUUGGUAUUAAAAUGGCUUUCCAUUGGUUAAGGUGAAAUUUUUAUCUCUUAACAGUGGAAUACCCUUACCUGAGUAUGGUAGAUAAUGAUAAUAACUGAGUAACAGAUGGGAAUCCCAUUUUGUACAGAAUGCAUUCUGAAGUACCUAAAUCCACGCACAGCUGCUGCCCCCUCUCCUUGCCCAUAUGAGGUAUUGUAGCCCCUCAGUGGACAGCUAGGGUCUCCACCAUUUUCCUUAACUUUCCUUAGCCCAAGCUCAGCAGACAACCUUGCUUUGUAAUUUUAAAAAAAAAGUCAAGGCUAUAAGGUGUUCAUUUCUUGAUUUUCCUGGCCUCUUUACAUAGUUAUCUCCUCCUGCCCAUUUUCUGAUUAUUUGUUUCCUCCACUCACAGAGGAAGACAUAUGGAUUCUGCAAGAUGUGUCCUUGAAUCUCUAGAUGUGUAGGCAAAAGGUGGAUUCCCAAAAGGGAGGGGAGCAGGUGAUGGUGCUUUGAGGAGAAAAAUGACCUUGCCCUUGGGCCCCAUCUCUGCCAGGAGGAGGUGUAGGCUGCUGAUGGCCAGGCAGGGUUUUAGCUGGAUUCAGUUUUCAGUCUCUCCAUCCCUGAUUGGUUGUAGGAUUUGGAGCAAAUUAUUCUCGGCCACCUCUUUUAGCUUCACUUUUCUUCUUCGUGAAUGGAUGUAACGUCUACUUCAUGAGGAGAAUUAAAUAAGGUCGUACAAAUGUGGAGGAAAGAAAAUAUGAUUUUAAAACCUAAUUUCAGAUGCUUCCAUAUGAAAGGUCCUCUACAGAGGAAAAUUUAUGCUUUUGAUUAAGAAAGGAUAUUGAUGGGCCAUCUACUUCUGAGAGGCAAAGUCCAGACCCAGCUGGACGGGAGAGAUCGGGAUAGAG